CAGCACCCACUAAUAGACCUGGGACAAUUGACUGUUGUUCUUCUAGUUUGCAUUAGGAUGUGAAAGAAUAAAAAUCUCCAAGCUUUCUGUCUCCCUUUGUGGCGGGUCCAGGUUGAAUGAGGGAUUGCAUAC